rnacentral:rRNA from 1 species
GAGUUUGAUCAUGGCUCAGAGCGAACGCUGGCGGCAGGCUUAACACAUGCAAGUCGAGCGGGCGUAGCAAUACGUCAGCGGCAGACGGGUGAGUAACACGUGGGAACGUACCUUUUGGUUCGGAACAACUGAGGGGAAACUUCAGCUAAUACCGGAUAAGCCCUAACGGGGAAAGAUUUAUCGCCGAAAGAUCGGCCCGCGUCUGAUUAGCUAGUUGGUGAGGUAAUGGCUCACCAAGGCGACGAUCAGUAGCUGGUCUGAGAGGAUGAUCAGCCACACUGGGACUGAGACACGGCCCAGACUCCUACGGGAGGCAGCAGUGGGGAAGUAUUGGACAAUGGGGGCGAACCCUGAUCCAGCCAUGCCGCGUGAGUGAUGAGGCCUAGGUUGUAAGCUCUUUGUGCGGAGA